rnacentral:siRNA from 1 species
UGAAACUUUAGCCGUGGUUGGA